rnacentral:rRNA from 1 species
UACGAAGGGGGCUAGCGUUGCUCGGAAUGACUGGGCGUAAAGGGCGCGUAGGCGGUUUGAUCAGUUAGGUGUGAAAUUCCUGGGCUUAACCUGGGGGCUGCACUUAAUACGGUCAGGCUUGAGUGUGAAAGAGGGUCGUGGAAUUCCCAGUGUAGAGGUGAAAUUCGUAGAUAUUGGGAAGAACACCGGUGGCGAAGGCGGCGACCUGGUUCAUUACUGACGCUGAGGCGCGAAAGCGUGGGGAGCAAACAGGAUUAGAUACCCUGGUAGUCCACGCUGUAAACGAUGUGUGCUGGAUGUUGGGCGGCCUAGCCGUUCAGUGUCGUAGCUAACGCGAUAAGCACACCGCCUGGGGAGUACGGCCGCAAGGUUGAA